UGUACACCAGAUAUACUCAGGACAUAUUGAUACAUGAAUUACCAUUUCUACCACAUGGGAAAGUUUCAACAUCCUACGUUGAAAAUGGACUGGACGAUCCUGAUAAUAAUAAUAGUUUUAUGCAUAAUUGACGUAUGUCAGAUCACUCAAGGCAUGCAGAAACAUGAAUUCACAUUUCUACCACUUAAGAAAGUAUCAACAUCCUAUGCUGAAAAUGGACUAGAAGAUACUGCUAAUAAUAUUGGGUUUAUGUAAUGUGCGUGUAAGGGUUAUUGAAUAUAAUUGAUAGUAAAUUAAUGGCAGUGAAACAAUUGAGAUUCGUUAAUAAUCUGAAUAAAAUUUUAGUUAACACCUUUGACUUGUAAUUUUCAUUCAUAAGAGUUACCAUUAUUAACUUGUAUACAUUUCAUUUGAGCUGA